UGAGGGAAAGGCGAAAAGAACCCCUGUGAGGGGAGUGAAAUAGAACCUGAAACCGCAUACGUACAAGCAGUGGGAGCCCGAUUUAGUCGGGUGACUGCGUACCUUUUGUAUAAUGGGUCAGCGACUUAUAUUCUGUAGCAAGGUUAACCGAUUAGGGGAGCCGUAGCGAAAGCGAGUGUUAACUGCGCGUUUAGUUGCAGGGUAUAGACCCGAAACCCGGCGAUCUACCCAUGGGCAGGUUGAAGGUUGAGUAACAUCAACUGGAGGACCGAACACACGUAUGUUGAAAAAUGCGGUGAUGACUUGUGGGUCGGAGUGAAAGGCUAAUCAAGCCGGGAGAUAGCUGGUUCUCCCCGAAAUCUAUUUAGGUAGAGCCUCGCACGAACACCAUUGGGGGUAGAGCACUGUUAAGGCUAGGGGGUCAUCCCGACUUACCAACCCUUUGCAAACUCCGAAUACCAAUGAGUGAUAUGCGGGAGACACACUGCGGGUGCUAACGUCCGUUGUGAAGAGGGAAACAACCCAGACCGCCAGCUAAGGUCCCAAAGUACUAGUUAAGUGGGAAACGAUGUGGAAAGGCAUAGACAGCUAGGAGGUUGGCUUAGAAGCAGCCAUCCUUUAAAGAAAGCGUAAUAGCUCACUAGUCGAGUCGGUCUGCGCGGAAGAUGUAACGGGGCUAAACUAGUCACCGAAGCUGCGGAUUCAUCAUUUAUGAUGAGUGGUAGGGGAGCGUUCUGUAAGCCGUUGAAGGUGAAUUGAGAAGUUUGCUGGAGGUAUCAGAAGUGCGAAUGCUGACAUGAGUAACGAUAAGGGGAGUGAAAAACUCCCCCGCCGAAAGACCAAGGUUUCCUGUCCCAUGUUAAUCAGGGCAGGGUAAGUCGGCCCCUAAGGCGAGGCGGAAACGCGUAGUCGAUGGGAAACAGAUUAAUAUUUCUGUACUUCUAUAUAUUGCGAAGGAGGGACGGAGUAGGCUAAAUGAGCACGGCGUUGGUAGUCCGUGUGAAAGUAUGUAGGUGGUUGUCUUAGGUAAAUCCGGGACUUCAUUAACACUGAGAUACGAGACGAGAUUCUACGGAAUUGAAGUCAUUGAUGCCAUGCUUCCAGGAAAAGCUUCUAAGCUUCAGAUAUAUAGGAACCGUACCCCAAACCGACACAGGUGGUUAGGUAGAGAAUACUAAGGCGCUUGAGAGAACUCGGGUGAAGGAACUAGGCAAAAUAGUACCGUAACUUCGGGAGAAGGUACGCUGCUCACGGUGAAGCCCUUGCGGUGUAAGCUAAGAGUAGUCGAAGUAACCAGGUGGCUGGAACUGUUUAUUAAAAACACAGCACUGUGCAAAAUCGAAAGAUGACGUAUACGGUGUGACGCCUGCCCGGUGCCGGAAGGUUAAUUGAUUCGGUUAGUCCUCGGACGAAGCUGAUGAUCGAAGCCCCGGUAAACGGCGGCCGUAACUAUAACGGUCCUAAGGUAGCGAAAUUCCUUGUCGGGUAAGUUCCGACCUGCACGAAUGGCGUAAUCAUGGCCACACUGUCUCCACCCGAGACUCAGUGAAAUUGAAUUUGCGGUUAAGAUGCCGUAUACCCGCGGCUAGACGGAAAGACCCCGUGAACCUUUACUAUAGCUUGACAGUGAACAUUGCUCCUACAUGUGUAGGAUAGGUGGGAGGCUUUGAAACCAUGUCGCUAGAUGUGGUGGAGCCAAUCUUGAAAUACCACCCUUGUAUGCGUGAUGUUCUAACCUAGGGCCCUUAUCGGGCUUGGGGACACUGUCUGGUGGGUAGUUUGACUGGGGCGGUCUCCUCCCAAAGAGUAACGGAGGAGCACGAAGGUUGGCUAAGUACGGUCGGACAUCGUACGGUUAGUGCAAUGGCAUAAGCCAGCUUAACUGCGAGACAGACACGUCGAGCAGGUACGAAAGUAGGUCAUAGUGAUC
rnacentral:rRNA from 1 species